rnacentral:rRNA from 1 species
AGUGAACGCUGGCGGCGUGCUUAACACAUGCAAGUCGAACGAGAACGGAAUAUAGCUUGCUAUAUUUGUCAGCUAAGUGGCGCACGGGUGAGUAAUAUAUAGAUAACCUGCCCUUAAGAAAGGAAUAACAGUUGGAAACGACUGAUAAUGCCCUCUAUGCCUUUAAUACAUAAGUAUGGAAGGGAAGCGCUUUAGUGCUUAAGGAUGGGUCUGUAUGGUAUCAGCUUGUUGGUGAGGUAAUGGCUCACCAAGGCUAUGACGCCUAACUGGUUUGAGAGGAUGAUCAGUCACACUGGAACUGAGACACGGUCCAGACUCCUACGGGAGGCAGCAGUGGGGAAUAUUGCACAAUGGACGAAAGUCUGAUGCAGCAACGCCGCGUGGAGGAUGACACAUUUCGGUGCGUAAACUCCUUUUAUAUAGGAAGAUAAUGACGGUACUAUAUGAAUAAGCACCGGCUAACUCCGUGCCAGCAGCCGCGGUAA